GUGGGUCCUCAUAAUGCUGUCUUCUCUACAUUGUAGCCUAAAUCAGACCUGACAGACAGUUCAGGCUGACGUGAGUCAGGCUGGAAUAGAGCACCUGGGAGAGUAAGGAGUCAGCAAGAGCGAGUGCUCAUCUACCCUUGUCACCAGGGGCUGUCAACGUCUAAUUGCUCUGGUCUUUUGGCUUAAAUUCUUCAAAGGAUUCAUCUCAUUGGCUGUGGAGUAGUAAGGUCCUCCGGGAUCUGGAAGCUUCCAGAAUCAGGUGGGUUAGAGGAAGGCUGUUAUGAAACAAAGAAGACUACACAGACUUACCAUGAGGCUGCUGAGAGAGGGGAGGUGACAGCCAAGAGGGUGGAUUGUCUGUCCAGAACAACCAGGAAGAGAAUUUUAGAUUCCAGAACUGGAGCGGCAACUUUAGGCCUCCAGAGAAACAUGGUGUCCUACGCAGGCUGUAGGUGAGCUAGAAGCGGGGUUGCUUUCGCCCUACCCCUGUGUGCUACUCAAAGGGGCAGGAGGCAUGCUGGGUGGAGAGGGUCACCCUUGACACACUAGCCCUUCUACCUUCCAGGCCUUUCCUCCAGUCCUAUGACAUACCUCACCUUGUAAAUGCUCUGGAAUCUCAGGCUGCUGGAAGCGCUGGCCUCCUGGCCUUUCCCACCCACCCAACCACCUGUGCAAGCAGGCUGUGCCCAUUCUUUCUAGCCCAGCCUGUCUGCUGGCCACAGGAAUUCCUCCCCCUUACCCUGUGACUGCUGCAGUCUUGACCCCUGGGGCCUUUUGCCCUCCCCUCCCUAGUGCCCCUCCCAUUGCCCAUAGUCUGGUCCUCUCAGAGUUCCCCAUACGACAGGCCAGAUGAAGACCAUGAAAUGUGGUUUACAAGAUGGCAAUAAGAGUCAGGAAGGCAAGUGACUGGACUAAGGCCACUCAGCAGAUGGAGGGACUCCUCUCUCAACAGCCACUUCCUCCUCUGUUGUGCAGGGGACAUCAAUCUGAGUCAGCCCUGGGCUCCCAACACGCCCACUUGGUAUGGCUGCCCAGACUUUGCUCAGCUAAACUGCCCUGCCUGAACGCCCUUCCAGGCCAGAGCUCUCUGUACUCAGCCCCACCCAAUUCUCACCUUCUCUCGAAUUUCCCCAUUACUCCUGUUUUUCUGCAAUCCAAACAUGUCACCCGAAGAUUCUUCCUAUAUCGCACUGAGGCUGCCUGCCUUUCACAACAAGAAUGUAAGAACCUGCUUUGGUGCUGGCAGCUUUGGAUGGAAUGAAAGUCUAAAUGAAAGAGUAAAUAAGCGAAUGAAUCUCUUUGCCUAGCCUUUGAUGUGACAGGAUUCAUCAGGGUGAGAAGAUGACAGAGGACUCAGCACAAAGCUAGGCAAGCGGCCCCAAGUGCUCACUAACUGGAACAACCUGAAACCAAGCUGCUCUCCAUGCCUACCUGCUGGCAUAGCUGGUCUUUAGGCCAAGUACCUUCACAAAGGCCCCAGUGGCCUGGUGCCAGGGGACUGCCCGCUGGCCUCUAAAAGAGCAAAGUCUGCCUCCCAACUGAUCUGCCAGCUCAGCUGCGUCUGCACCACCCACCCAGACUCCCAAGCCUGCAGUAUAAGGAAGAAAAGGAGAGAAAUCAGGUCAAACCAGAUGGCAAAGCAGUUCUUGUGGUCAGCGCUGGGAGCUGGAGGACUGGCAGCGGGAAGUUCUGCUGCCAAGCAAGGCAGAGGGGCUGCUGGGUAAUCCUCUACAACUAUUUGCAUGGCAUUUGCUUUGCAUCCCCAUGAUAAGUGACGUGGGUAUGCCUGUCAGUGUGUAGCAGAAGGGACCUCACAAGUUCUAUGCAAACCCAAGGUCACUUUAUAGAAGGGACAUGGUCAUCUUCAGAUGCUGGUACCCAUAGAGGGAUUUCCAUUCAUGGUGAUACAGUGGGACCCAGUAACUAGUCAUCAAUGGAAUAAAAAAAAUGAUAAGAUUA